AACUCCUGAACUUAAAUGAUCCUCUCAGCCUCCCUAACUGCUAAGAUCACAGAUAUGAGCCACCACACCCAGCCGCAAACUUUGAAUAACGGAUAAAAAAUCUGAACUUGUGAAAAUCUUUAAUCUCCUCUUUGUUUUCAGCAGGAACACUAGAGAAAAGACAAUCUACACAAAAUAAUAUACAAUUUAAUUAUAAUUUAACUUGUCUUUCUCUGAAAUAAAGCAAAAAAAUGCUCAUCAAAAUUUCAGUGGUGAGUAGUCAUUAUACGGUUAAAAAGAGAAAGUACAAUGUAUUCGCCCAUUUUCUCUAUUUACCUAAUCACAAUGAACAAACUGAAAGUUUAGUUCCUCUAAAUCCAACUUUAAAAUCUUGCACCCUCAAUAUUCUAGGGCAAAAAAAUUAUUAACUAGCUAUAAAAUAGACAAUAAAAAUAUUUUAACUUAGAUUCAUCCAAAAGGCAAAGAAUGACUGUUAUCUCUCCCACCUCAUCUAUCUCAAGAGUGUUACUAAAUAUGGGUGUAUUGCCCAACUUCCCUGCUCCACACAAGUAUAGACUGCAAUUGGAGUGACUGUUCUUCAUUUCAAACACAUGAGUCAAGAGGAAGUAGUAUUAAUUAUUUAUUGGUCAGCACACAUUCAUCAGGUACUCACCACAUAUGUGCACCUGUUAUAAGGGUCAGAAAAUUUCUAUUCUAGAGUUUACCAGAGUUCACCAACCUUGUGAGGAGACAGGCCAGGAGUUCAGCCUUCUCAACCAUGCUUUGUGCCUUCAACCUCCAAACCAUUUCAGAGAAAGAAUGAGACAUCUCAGUUGGAACUAAUAUCCAAAAGGAACCUGAAUGGCACCUUUAAAAAAUAUCUCACCCAGUCAUCCAGAACCUUUGCUUCUCUCACUUUAGAAGAGGUGAAAGAAGAAAGCUCGAGUCGUAAAUUGAAGGCCUUCCUGUUACCUUCCUUUACAGAAACAAAAGCAGCUUGUCAGGCGAAGACUAUCUGAAUACCUCGUGCUUAGUAAACAGACCAGACGGGGAUUCAGUGGAGUGUUUGCAUAAGGAAGCUAUGGAAGCUUACUGUUCUUAAGAGUGUUUCCUCCCCAUCUCACCUGCAGGGAAAAAGCACCGACUUCCUCCCCAACCUUAAGUACAGAUCAACAAGCCCUCCUGAAUGAAGCUGCCUGUUCUGACCUACCUCUCCACAUUGCCUUGGCCAACCCUCCUGACCCUGUGCUCCUGGGAAAAUUACUCAACCUCUCUGAGCCAUCUGCGAUGUGAGAAACUUCAGUUAAAUGUCUGAAGAGGGCUCACUGGUAUAACCUGGUAACUGUUUAGAGCAUGCCUCAAAGAGCACUAAGCUGCAAAGAACUCAUUCCAUGCUCCAUGACUAACCUUAACCCAGGCAUUCACAAUUUGAAAUGUGUUCAUAGCAUAGCCCUGUAAACUUCAGGUAAAGGUCACACUUCAGACCUUUUCUUUAAAACAGUAAAUUAUGUAAUAGUAAGUUACACGUGAAGACACUGCUUACAACACAUCAUAUCAUGACCAAUACAGCCUAAGGGUCCUCCGAUCAUCCUCUCCCUCUUGGGUUCCUUGUAAAUGUUCCCACUGUUACUGGUUUGGUAUAUCUCUUUCUAGUCCUUUUUCCUAGCCAUUUAUACAUAUAUCCUUGAAACCACAAAAAA